AUACGGAGGGGGUUAGCGUUGUUCGGAAUUACUGGGCGUAAAGCGUACGUAGGCGGACUGGAAAGUUGGGGGUGAAAUCCCGGGGCUCAACCCCGGAACUGCCUCCAAAACUUCCAAUCUAGAGAUCGAGAGAGGUGAGUGGAAUUCCAAGUGUAGAGGUGAAAUUCGUAGGUAUUUGGAGGAACACCAGUGGCGAAGGCGGCUCACUGGCUCGAUACUGACGCUGAGGUACGAAAGCGUGGGGAGCAAACAGGAUUAGAUACCCUAGUAGUCC
rnacentral:rRNA from 1 species